UAGGGAAUCUUCCACAAUGGACGAAAGUCUGAUGGAGCAACGCCGCGUGAGUGAAGAAGGGUUUCGGCUCGUAAAACUCUGUUGUUAAAGAAGAACAUAUCUGAGAGUAACUGUUCAGGUAUUGACGGUAUUUAACCAGAAAGCCACGGUUAACUACGUGCAAG
rnacentral:rRNA from 1 species